GGGCCCGCACAAGCGGUGGAGUAUGUGGUUUAAUUCGAUGCAACGCGAAGAACCUUACCAGGGUUUGACAUCCUGCGAAUCUCUUGGAAACGAGAGAGUGCCUUCGGGAACGCAGUGACAGGUGGUGCAUGGCUGUCGUCAGCUCGUGUCGUGAGAUGUUGGGUUAAGUCCCGCAACGAGCGCAACCCACGUCUUUAGUUGCCAGCAUUUAGUUGGGCACUCUAGAGAGACUGCCGGUGAUAAACCGGAGAAGGUGAGGACGACGUCAAGUCAUCAUGGCCCUUACGUGUAGGGCUACACACGUGCUACAAUGGGGAGUACAGAUAGACGCUAAAGCGCGAGCUGGUGCUAAUCUCAUAAAAGCUCUUCGU
rnacentral:rRNA from 1 species